CAAAGUUGUCUAAGUGCCGCACGGGUUAGCUGCGCAAAACACUCAUCCCGUGACAAGUGGUAUCAGAGCUAAGGUUUGCACGCACGCAAAUUAGCUCACGAAGCAAUGGCCAACCCUUCGAACGUAGCACAAGAGGGUGUUGUUGGUGUGGAUGUUCCACCGGAACCAAGCCGUGGCCGAGAGGGAGAACGCGCCCAAGGCAAGACUCGCGGCAAGUCCAAGGCCCUAUCCGUGGAUGCGUUGGAGCCUCGUGUAGGCACUCUCGAAAUAGCAUUGUCCGCCGCUCAAGAUAGCCUCGUGGGAUUGGAGGAAAGAGUGGAUGGUCUCGAGGGAGAAUACGCCGAGUUCACGGUGGCCACAAAAGCUCUCAUCCAUGAGCAAGUGAACAUUCUCCGAGGUGAGUUUCGUUCUUUCCAUGAUGAGUUGCUCAAACUUCGUACUUUUGUUCAGGACGAACUACAUGCUGUCCGUGCGGAAGUGGAUGAAGUCCGCUCGGAUUGGG
rnacentral:lncRNA from 1 species